GGGGAAUAUUGGACAAUGGGGGCAACCCUGAUCCAGCAAUGCCGCGUGAGUGAUGAAGGCCUUAGGGUUGUAAAGCUCUUUUACCGGGGACGAUGAUGACGGUACCCGGAGAAUAAGCCCCGGCUAACUUCGUGCCAGCAGCCGCGGUAAUACGAAGGGGGCGAGCGUUGUUCGGAGUUACUGGGCGUAAAGGGCGCGUAGGCGGCGCUCCAAGUUAGGCGUGAAAGCCCCGGGCUCAACCUGGGAAUUGCGCUUAAGACUGGAGUGCUCGAGUGCGGAAGAGGUGAGUGGAAUUCCCAGUGUAGAGGUGAAAUUCGUAGAUAUUGGGAAGAACACCAGUGGCGAAGGCGGCUCACUGGUCCGCAACUGACGCUGAGGCGCGAAAGCGUGGGGAGCAAAC
rnacentral:rRNA from 1 species